UGGGGGAUAUUGCACAAUGGGCGAAAGCCUGAUGCAGCGACGCCGCGUGGGGGAUGAAGGCCUUCGGGUUGUAAACUUCUUUUGCUCUGAACAAGGCAUGCCUUUGGGGUGUGUUGAGUGUAGGGGUUGAUUAGCGCCGGCUAACUACGUGCCAGCAGCCGCGGUAAUACGUAGGGCGCGAGCGUUGUCCGGAAUUAUUGGGCGUAAAGGGCUUGUAGGUGGCUGGUUGCGUCUGUCGUGAAAGCUCAUGGCUUAACUGUGGGUUUGCGGUGGGUACGGGCUGGCUUGAGUGCAGUAGGGGAGGCUGGAAUUCCUGGUGUAGCGGUGGAAUGCGCAGAUAUCAGGAGGAAUACCGGUGGCGAAGGCGGGUCUCUGGGCUGUUACUGACGCUGAGGAGCGAAAGAGUGGGGAGCGAACAGG
rnacentral:rRNA from 1 species